GUUUUUAUGCUUUUUAAUUAUUUAAUAAUUAAAUAAUUAUUAAUUGUUUUAUAAAUAUUCUAAUAAAUAUAUAAAUAAAUACUUGAAAUAUAUAUAAAAAUUUAAAAUAAUAAUUUCAUAAAGAAAGUUUGAAAACAAAAUUGAAAAAAAAAAUCAAAAAAAAAAGUUAUAAAAAAGUUUGAAUUUGAAAAAGGGAAAUACCCUAGGAUAGCACUAAAAAAGUUUAUGACACAAAUAUAGACUCUAAGGAUCAAAAUGACCAAAAUAUUUCAUUAAAGAAGUAAAUAUACACUUAUACCCCUAAAGUUAACUAAUCCAAACCUUAGAGUUUGGAGUUAAGGGUCGGAAUUUG
rnacentral:lncRNA from 1 species